rnacentral:misc_RNA from 1 species
CUCUCCCAUGGCUGAAUGUAGCGAUAAAGAUUUGGAAUCAGCUGGUCUUCUUCAUGACUCAUUCCACUCCGGAAGUGGGUUACACCAACAUCUGUCUGCUGGCUAUAUCGCAGGUCACUUUGUGGGAUCAAUAUGUGACCCAUCGAUAGCAUGCCAAGUCCUCCGAUUUCUUUUGGUGUAUAGAAGAUGACAGGAGGAAAUCGGCUUGGCAUCUUUGAGUUCAACCCAAUUUUGAUACGAGUUUGGAUUUUAUUUUCACAUUUAACCAGUAAAUCUAAUAGCUCUUGAGUAUGCACAGUUGCUUCACGGAAAUAAGUCAUCAAACCUAUCAGGGCUGUAUUCCAUUUGUUGACUAUUUUUGUGAAAGUAGUUGACCCUGAAGACAUAAGAAUCUGCCUCACACGAUUCUCAAACACCUUCAUGUGCUCAUCAUCAACCCGUAGGAAAGCAACAGCCGUUCGCUCUUUAGUCUGCUCAUUCUGCAAAUUCCAAACACCAUCUCUGGUAUUGCUGAAUGCUUCC